rnacentral:rRNA from 1 species
GGGGAAUUUUCCGCAAUGGGCGAAAGCCUGACGGAGCAAUACCGCGUGAGGGAUGACGGCCUAUGGGUUGUAAACCUCUUUUUUCAGGGAGGAAUCAAUGACGUGUACCUGAAGAAUAAGCAUCGGCUAACUCCGUGCCAGCAGCCGCGGUAAGACGGAGGGUGCAAGUGUUAUCCGGAAUCACUGGGCGUAAAGCGUCUGUAGGUGGCUAAAUAAGUCAACUGUUAAAUCUUGAGGCUUAACUUCAAAAUCGCAGUCGAAACUAUUUGGCUAGAGUAUAGUAGGGGUAAAGGGAAUUUCCAGUGGAGCGGUGAAAUGCGUAGAGAUUGGAAAGAACACCGAUGGCGAAAGCACUUUACUGGGCUAUUACUAACACUCAGAGACGAAAGCUAGGGUAGCAAAUGGGAUUAGAUAC